AACGAGGCCGACCUGCGGCUGAGUUACCUGCGGAAGGAUCAUUACAGAGUUGCAAAACUCCCUAAACCAUUGUGAACGUUACCUAAACCGUUGCUUCGGCGGGCGGCCCGGGUCCUUCCCGGCGCCCCUCGGCCCUCGCGGGCGCCCGCCGGAGGUAAACCAAACUAUUGCAUUGUAUGGCCUCUCUGAGUCUUCUGUACUGAAUAAGUCAAAACUUUCAACAACGGAUCUCAGAUCGGA
rnacentral:misc_RNA from 1 species